GGUGAGGGGCCGAGGGGCGGGGCGAAGUGGUGCCCGCGCCCGGCCUCCCCUCCGCUGGGGCGGCUCUAAUCAACUUUGCCGGGCGCCAGAGGGAGUUGACAGGCACGCCGGGGUCACGUUUCUAGCUAGUGCUGCUUGAAGGGAUGGAAUGAGGGGGCGGAGGGCAAAAGUCAGAUUCCACAAAAAAUGAAAGUCAGGCUCAUAGAGCAGAGCAUGACUAGCAGCUGCAGAGUUAAGCCGGCCUUCUGCCAGCGCUGAAAUGCUCUGGGCUCCAAGGAGCGAUUUUAUCCUCUCCAGUGAAAGGGGUUCCCAUCUUAGCAGUGAGUCUAGUCUUCCCUGGAACGUCGUGUCUGUUGGUUCCUCAGAAUGCGAACGCGAGCUUUCAUUGACGCAUUAAGCGCCUACUGUGUGCCAGGCAUUGUGGAACAGUCCUUCUGAAGUACAUUAGGUCCUGAGGUGCAGCCUUCUGGCAGUGGAGAAUCCCGGCAGCUUUAACUGCCUGCUCACGCUGGUACCCUAUGUGGCAGCAACAGUUAAUGCAGGUGAAAAAUAGGCCCUGGAUUGGCAGUUUACCUGGAACCUGGGCUCCCGGAGACUCAGCGCUGGAGCAGAUGGAUAAUGGAGACUGGGGCUAUAUGAUGACUGACCCAGUCACGUUAAAUGUAGGUGGACAUUUGUACACAACGUCUCUCACCACAUUGACACGAUACCCGGAUUCCAUGCUUGGAGCUAUGUUUGGGGGGGACUUCCCCACAGCUCGAGACCCUCAAGGCAAUUACUUCAUUGAUCGAGAUGGACCUCUUUUCCGAUAUGUCCUCAACUUCUUAAGAACUUCAGAAUUGACCUUACCCCUGGAUUUUAAGGAAUUUGAUCUGCUUCGGAAAGAAGCAGAUUUUUAUCAGAUUGAACCCUUGAUUCAGUGUCUCAAUGACCCUAAACCUUUGUAUCCCAUGGAUACUUUUGAAGAAGUUGUGGAGUUAUCUAGUACUCGUAAGCUUUCUAAGUACUCCAAUCCAGUAGCCGUCAUCAUAACCCAGUUAACCAUCACCACAAAGGUCCAUUCCUUACUAGAAGGUAUCUCAAACUAUUUUACGAAGUGGAAUAAGCACAUGAUGGACACCAGAGAUUGCCAGGUUUCCUUUACUUUUGGACCAUGUGAUUAUCAUCAGGAAGUUUCUCUCCGGGUCCACCUGAUGGAAUACAUCACAAAACAAGGUUUCACGAUCCGUAAUACCCGAGUGCAUCAUAUGAGUGAGAGAGCGAAUGAGAACACAGUGGAGCACAACUGGACUUUCUGUAGGUUGGCCCGGAAGACAGAUGACUGAGCUCCAACCCAGAAAGAUUCUGGAAACUGACUCUCCAGGACAUGGAAGAGAUUGAUUUUUUUUUUUUUUAAUCACAGUGUGGGAUUUAAAAAAAAAAGUAUUUAUUUGAAAGCAUUGAGGAUCAGAAGGAGGUUUUGUGCUUUAGCAGACUUGUAUGUUGUUUCCUUCAUCUGUGUAUGCAUGUGCCUGUUCAGAGCCUCCAGAUACCUUUUUUAUAAAAAGAAGUCUGAAAAUUAUUAUGGUAUAUAAUCUACCCUUAACAGAACUUUUUUUAUUACAGUGCUAAAAUGAUUUCUGAUUAAAUGGUCCCUAACUCAACUAGAAGGCUAAACAUGCAGGAAUGAAAGAAUAAACAGAGAACUCAUGAUGCCUUUGAGAAAAAUCAGAACAGGCCAUACCUGGUCACCCCAAACUACAAAGGAGACUGGAGCAAUAAGAAUCUGGAUUUACAACCUCUGUGCUUGGAGAUGGCUACAGAGGCAUUGGGACUCACCACGGAAUAUUUGAGAUUCACCAGUGCUGUUGCCUGUGUCCACGGUUUGUUUCUUUAUUGAUAUGACCGGGAUGCAGCUUCCAAUUUCCUGCAUUCAGCUUGGGCUGCCACCUACUGGCGAGGACAAGAAUGACAGCUGUUGCUGGACCGAUUUCACUGUGCCUGAGGGAACAGAGACCAAUCCCUGGACAAAGACAAAACUUGCAGGCAAACCUUUAGAUCUGAGGCUUACAGCAGGGGAAGGUGAGGCCUGCAGCCGGAC